rnacentral:rRNA from 1 species
UGGGGAAUUUUGGACAAUGGGCGCAAGACUGAUCCAGCCAUGCCGCGUGCAGGAUGAAGGCCCUCGGGUUGUAAACUGCUUUUGUACGGAACGAAAAGCCUCUUUCUAAUAAUGAGGGGUGAUGACGGUACGGUAAGAAUAAGCACCGGCUAACUACGUGCCAGCAGCCGCUGUAAUACGUAGGGUGCGAGCGUUAAUCGGAAUUACUGGGCGUAAGGCGAGCGCAGGCGGUCGUGGAAGACAGUGGUGAAAUCCCCGGGCUCAACCUGGGGACUGCCUUGGUUACUGCAAAGCUUGAAGGCGGAAGAGGAGGAUGGAAUUCCGCGUGUAGCAGUGAAAUGCGUAGAUAUGAGGAGGAACACCGAUGGCGAAGGCAAUCCCCUGGGCCUGCACUGACGCUCAUGCUCGAAAGCGUGGGGAGC